rnacentral:rRNA from 1 species
GACAGAGGGUGCAAACGUUGUUCGGAAUUACUGGGCGUAAAGGGCUCGUAGGUCGCCAACUAAGUCAGACGUGAAAUCCCUCGGCUUAACCGGGGAACUGCGUCUGAUACUGGAUGGCUUGAGUUUGGGAGAGGGACGCGGAAUUCCAGGUGUAGCGGUGAAAUGCGUAGAUAUCUGGAGGAACACCGGUGGCGAAGGCGGCGUCCUGGACCAACACUGACACUGAGGAGCGAAAGCCAGGGGAGCAAACGGG